rnacentral:rRNA from 1 species
UACGAGGGGGGCGAGCGUUGUUCGGAAUUAUUGGGCGUAAAGGGUGCGUAGGCGGCCUGACAAGUCUGAUGUGAAAUCCCUGGGCUCAACCCAGGGCCUGCAUCGGAAACUGUCGGGCUUGAGUAUGGGAGAGGUGAGUGGAAUUUCCGGUGUAGCGGUGAAAUGCGUAGAUAUCGGAAGGAACACCUGUGGCGAAGGCGGAUCUCUGGACAGUUACUGACACUGAGGCACGAAGGCCAGGGGAGCAAACGGG